rnacentral:lncRNA from 1 species
CUUUUCUUUUGGGGCCUAGUGGUGCAUAGAGCUGAGGUCAGUAAUUGCCCACUGGGAACUAUAAAUUAUAGUUCUCACGUCCUCUGUUUUAUGUUUUCUUUCAGAGCCUUCCACGUCGGGAGAGGCUAGGGACCGUGGGAAGGGCGUUGCUUCGAGCUAGCUCUUCGGCGAGUGACGAGUUGAUAGGUGGUCUACCUCUCGAUGUUUUUAUUUUAGAGAGGUUGAGAGCUGCACCAGUGUACUAGAGACCACCCUUUGUGUAUACCAUUUUGGAGAUAAUAUUAUACUACUUUAUGUUCACUCUUAUUGUUUUAGUAUAUUACUUUUUCCUUGUCGUAGAUGGUAGAUGUAUACUCGCUCUGAUAUCUCUAAUUAUUGAUUUCUUUGGUUUUAUUUCCGCUGUUGUUGUAGAUGCCUUAUAUGUGUUGACAUAUGGCGGGUCUGGGCACGCUACCGGGAGGGCCUCUGCCGGUCCCGGGGCGUGACAGAUUAGUUUGGUAUCAGAGCAUAGGGUUGAGUCUUAGAGGACCUAGCAAACCUUAGGCCGGUUGGACUAUAGGAAAUAGGCUCGUGAGAGACGGGGUCUAUUUGACUUGUGAGCGAAAGUAUUAUGAUUGGGUUUUAAGAUGACUCUAGAAAGUUAGAGUUUAAUCGGAGUGUAUGGUUUCUAACUUCGCGGAGGGUUACGUUGGCGGCCGACAACGUAACAUCAGGAGUUAGUUGUGGACAACACUUCCUUACUUUCGCAUGAUUUGGGUAUUGUUAAUUGAGCGGGGAUUCGAUAGCGCGGGUUACUAACUUGCGCUUUUAUGUUUUGUAGUGACAAUGCUGAUUACGCGCUCUGAAUCGGCGGGGGCGGACAAUGCGGCACAAUUUGAGGAGGCUGAGACCUCCACUACCUUCGGAUCCGGUGAGGUCCGUGAGUUGAGGGGCCAGUUGGCAGCCCUCACUGAUUUGGUGACGCGACAGGCGGACACGGCGCUUCGACAGGAGGCGCGGAUGAAGCACUUGGAGGACCUUCUGCUGCAGCAGGCGGCGGCUAGGGAGACUCAGAUCCCUACACCACCCGCACCAGUGGAGGUGGUUGCGCCUAGGGUGUCGUCCCCUGCACUCGACGCUUCUAGGACGGCACCAGCGGCGGCACCUCGGGGAGAGGACAUCGCGGCACCACCAGCGUGAGCAUCUGUAGCGGGGGCGGUUUUCCCCGUGAUGGUUAAGGGAGCCGAGCGGGAUCGGCUUAUGGAGCGUCUCAGCGAGUUCAGAAGAUGCAACCCCCGGACCUUCGACGGGAAGAACGUGGACCACUAGAUUGUAGAGAAAUGGCUUAUGCACAUGGAGAAGCUGUUUCGAGAUACCUUCGUCGAGGAGAGGGACAGAGUGUGGCUCGUCACACAUCAUCUAGACGGCGAGGCCUACCGAUGGUGGUUGGACAUCCAGGACAACCCCAGCACGGAUUUGACGGCGAUUACUUGGAGGAGGUUCAAGGAACUCCUGCUGGAGCAUUACUUCCCUGACAGUGUCAAGAGGAAGAUGGAGCAGGAUCUGCGCAACCUGCGCCAGGGAGACAGGAUGGUGGCCGAGUACGAGAGAGAGUUCUCCCGACUUCUUCAUUGCGUGCCCUUCGUUGUUCGGGACGACGAGGAUAAGCCCCGCAUCUUCGAGCGGGCAUUGCGGCCUUUGAUUUUUCGAUUUGUUCAGUCUUCCAACCUGCAAAUCUACCGGGAGGUUGUGAACCGCGAACUCAUAGUGGAGAGUGGAGCAGCGGAUCUGCAGGAGCGGCGAGAGGCCUUGGAUAAGGGUAAAGGCAAGAGGCCCACGGCUGAGGGUGCGAGUCAGGCGCACUCAGGGAAGCCGCCGAGACAUCCGAGACACCGGAGUCAGUCGCGAGGACGCGGCCAGUCUACUCAGCGAGGAGGACUUGAUCGACGUCAGGCUCCGCGCUGCGUGAUCUACGGUGGUCCCCAUUUUCCACGGCAGUGUUCACGCAGUCGGGGCAGGUGCUACCUGUGUGGCCAGGAGGGCCACUUCCAGUCGGACUGCCCGAGGAGUCCAGCACCACCGCCAUCUUCAGCAUCUGCACCAGCUUUACCGGGUCCCAGCCCGGGGACACCUUCUGCGCUUCACCAGGCCGGACGGCCGCCAGUGCAGCAGCAGGCGGAGGGGGCACGACAGGCCGCGAGUGGGCGCAUGUACGCGGCCCAGACUGAGGAGGCGGCAGCACCCGAGAAUGUGGUCGUAGGUAUCAUUUUACUUUAUGGUAUUCGAGUACGAGCAUUAUUUGAUACCGGUGCAUCGCAUUCAUUCAUAGACCGGCUGUUUGCAGAGUUGCAUGGCAUCCCAUUGACAUCUUUGUUGCAUCCGGGACGAGUUAUUGUACCCGACCACUCUUUAGAUAUUCGAGAGUUUUGCCCCAGUAGCCCUGUUCGGGUUGGAGAUUGGAUCAUGCCUGCGGAUUUACUAGCUUUGCAUAAACUUGGAGAGUUUGAUGUUGUAUUGGGCAUGGAUUGGUUGACCAAGUACUACGCCACAAUUGAUUGUAAGAAUCGAAAUGUGACGUUUAGAGAGCUGGGGCAGGCGGAGGUUGUGUACUGAGGAUUCCAGAGUUCGCUGUUUGCGAUGACGAUUAGUUCCUCUCGAGAUAGACAGCUGAUCAGCAGAGGCUGCGUGGCCUAAUUGGCUACUAUUGUGUUGCGGGGCGAUUCAGACGCCCCUAGGAUUAAGGACCUUCCCGUCGUGCGGGAGUUUGGAGAUGUGUUUCCGGCUGAGCUUCCAGGCAUGCCACCUGAUAGGGAGAUUGAGUUUGUGGUAUAUCUCGUCCCCGGGACUACUCUAAUCUCAAAGGCGCCCUAUAGGGUGGCACCAGCAGAAUUGAAGGAGCUGAAGGCACAGUUGCAGGAUCUUCUAGACAAGGGUUUUGUGCGACCGAGUGUGUCACCUUGGGGAGCACCGGUCCUAUUUGUCAAGAAGAAGGAUGGAUCACUUCGCUUGUGCGUGGAUUACCGUGAACUCAAUAAAGUCACGAUUAAGAACAAGUAUCUAUUACCAAGGAUUGAUAAUUUAUUUGAUCAGCUCCAGAGAUCUAGUGUAUAUUCCAAGAUCGACCUGCAGUCGGGAUACCACCAAUUGAAGAUCAAGCCGGAGGAUGUGUCAAGGACGGCUUUUAGAACACGGUAUGGACAUUAUGAGUUUACUGUGAUGCCGUUCAGGCUUACUAAUGCCCCGGCAGCUUUUAUAGAUCUAAUGAACCGUGUUUUCAAGCCUUAUCUAGACAGGUUCGUCGUAGUAUUCAUCGACGACAUUUUGGUCUAUUCCCGAAGUGCUGCGGAUCACGAGGAACACUUGAGACUUGUACUUCAAGUGUUUCGGAAAAAGAAGCUCUACGCUAAAUUGAAGAAGUGUGAGUUUUGGCUUAGAGAGGUGGCGUUUUUGGGCCAUUUGAUUUUCGGAUCAGGUAUAGCCGUGGAUCCUAGAAAAAUUGAAGCUAUCAAGGACUGGCCGAGGCCGACGAGUGUCACCGAGAUUCAGAGUUCUCUUGGCUUGGCCGGCUACUACCGACGGUUUGUCGAGGGAUUUGCAAAGACAUCCACUCCCCUCACGAGGCUCACGCAUAAGGGCACCAAGUUUGUUUGGAAUGAUGAGUACGAAAGGAGCUUUCAAGAGUUGAAGCAGAGAUUGACGACCGCCCCGAUCCUAACCUUGCCAACUGCUGGAGCAGGGUAUGUGAUUUAUAGUGAUGCUUCCUUUAAUGGAUUGGGCUGUGUUUUAAUGCAGGAUGGGAAAGUGAUAGCGUAUGCAUCGCGCUAGUUGAAGGAUUAUGAAAGAAACUGCCCUACUCAUGAUUUGGAAUUGGCGGCCGUAGUCUUUGCAUUGAAGCUAUGGCGCCAUUACUUAUACAGCGAGCGAUGCGAAGUAUAUACGGAUCACAAGAGUUUAAAGUAUUUAUUCACUCAAAAGGAGUUGAACUUGAGGCAGCGCAGAUGGUUGGAGCUACUCAAGGAUUACGAUUUGACGAUACUUUACCACCCGGGCAAGGCUAACGUGGUGGCGGAUGCGCUAAGCAAAAAAUCGACGGAAAACUUAGCGAUGCUUGUGGUUACUCAACCACCGUUGAUCGAGCAGAUGAAGCAGUUGGAGUUGGAGGUAGUGGCUCCUGAUACACCUUUGAGACUAUUGACUUUGGUGGUGCAACCUAUACUAGUGGAAAAGAUUAAAGAAAAGCAAGUCUCCGAUACGGAAUUGCAAAAGAUUCGCGCUAAAAUGCUUGAUGGGUGCACCGGUGACUUUUCUGAGGACGGUGUUGGACUGAUGCGCUUCCGUGGACGGAUCUGUGUACCGGCGGAACCGGCACUUAAGGAAGAAAUUCUUCAAGAGGCACACCGAGCACCGUAUGCUAUACAUCCGGGAGGCACCAAGAUGUAUAAGGACUUAAAGUUGCAUUAUUGGUGGCCCGGGAUGAAGAAGGACUUUGGUGAGUUUGUUGCUAGAUGUUUAACUUGCCAACAGGUGAAAGCUGAGCAUUGAGUCCCUGCGGGAAAUUGCAGAGCCUACCGAUACCAGUAUGGAAAUGGGAGAAGAUCACCAUGGACUUUGUGAUGGGUUUGCCCCGCUCGCAGGCCGGGCGUGAUGCUAUCUGGGUGAUCAUGGAUAGGUUGACGAAAUUGGCACAUUUCGUACCUAUCCACACUACUUGGACUGGUGAGAGACUCGCACAGGUAUACUUGGAUGAGAUUGUGCAAUUACACGGGGUACCUACUUCUAUAGUGUCAGAUCGAGACCCCCGAUUCGUAUUUCACUUCUGGCGGAGCUUACAGGAUGCUUUGGGUACGCGCUUAGAUUUCAGUACAGCUUUCCACCCCCAGAGUGACGGGCAGUCAGAGCGUACUAUACAGACUCUCGAGAACAUGCUUCGAGCCUGUGUAAUUGACUUUCAGGGAGGAUGGUCGCAGCAUCUACCGAUGGCAGAGUUUGCUUAUAACAACAGUUAUCAAGCAAGCAUCAAGAUGGCACCGUUCGAGGCGCUCUAUGGACGGAAGUGUAGAUCGCCACUUCACUGGAGUGAGGUUGGCGAGAGAUUGGCUUUAGGCCCAGAUGUGCUCCAGGAAGCAGAGGACAAGGUUCGCAUUGCUCGGGAGCGACUGUUAACAGUCCAAAGUAGGCAAAAGAGUUAUGUUGACAAGCGUCGACGGGACUUGGAGUUUCAGAUUGAUGAUCAUGUCUUCUUGAAAGUCUCGCCGACCAGAAGGAUUAGGAGAUUCGGGAUCCGGGGUAAGUUGAGCCCCCGAAACAUUGGACCGUAUGAGAUUUUGGAGCGUAUAGGCUCGGUAGCAUAUCGACUUGCGUUACCUCCGAACCUAUCGGGCGUACAUAAUGUUUUUCAUGUAUCGGUCCUUCGGAAGUACAUCUAUGAUCCAGCUCAUGUGCUUGACGCUACACCAUUGGAGCUGCGAGAGGAUUUGAGCUUUGAAGAGCAACCUUUGAGGAUUCUGGCUCGCGAAGUAAAAAUAUUGCGGAACCGUGACAUUCCCUACGUGAAGGUGCUUUGGAGCAACCACGACGAGCGCGAGGCCACUUAGGAGUUGGAGAGUGCACUGCGAGAGCGCUAUCCCCAUCUUUUUCAGAUGGAGGCUUGAGGUACUUUACCUUUUUGAGUUUCGCGGACGAAACUCCUUUUUAGGAGGGGUGAAUGUAACACACUGGACCUUUGCAAAUUGCGAGGUUCGAGUGAUUGGAUGUGUUUCGAGUUUUUCCACACUUGGUGGAGGGUCGUAGAAUGUUUUCCGAACUAAAAAGUUCGAAAACUGGAAUUCUGGAUGAGUCCUGAGAGUUUUUACUCUCGGGGACUGGUCCCUGAAAGGAGAGACCGGUCCCCCAGUGAGCAGUGCUGUGCAGCCGGCGAGGAGACCGGUCCCGCGCAGGGAGAGACCGGUUCCCGAACGAUGGUUUUUCGAGUUCGACACGAGAGACCGGUCCCUUGCAAGGAGAGACCGGUCCCUCUGGGCGAAAAUUGCCGAGACCGCGCUGAUGCAAUAUUGGAUUUUUGAGGGGCCUCUUUGGAUUUUGUUACACUAGAUGGCUUAUAUGGCCACACCACCCUCUCUCCUUCUCAUUUCUCUCCUCAUACUCACUCCCCACCCUUGUUAGAGAGAGAAGAGGAAGGAGAAGAAGGAAGAAGAAGAAGAAGAAGGAGAAGGUCUUUUGGUGCACUUGGAGCAUUUCUUUCCUCUCCUUCUCUUCCCACCUUGUUGGUGCUUGAAGGCUUGGACUUGGAGCUUGCAAGAGAGGAGAACUUCACCCUUGGAGCUUGGAUUGGAGCGUCUAAGGAGGUUUGUUGCUCAUUUCCUUUCUCUAGACCUUGAUUUGGUGGGUUUUACCAUAUGGAACCCUAAAAUGGGAUUUUAGGGUUAAUUUUGGGGCUUUUUGAUCUAAGGCUUUUGAGGCUCAAUUUCUUGAUUUAGAAUCUUCCUUUAGGUUAGAUUGGAAGGAUCAUAACCUUCUUUUGGAGCUUGAGAGAGAAUUUCUACUCCCUAGGUGAGUUUUUACCAUUUUUGUAAGAUUGUUAAUGUUUGGGCUUAGAGUUGUUCAUAACGCUCGUGUAUCUUUUUGCUCAUUACUUUUAGGGUAUUUUGAGACUCGUGGACAACUCCGUUCGGCGAAACGAGGGACUACACGACGGUUCGGUGGGUUUGACCUAGCCUGGCAUAUGAGAAAUUCUCGUAUCCCAUGUUUUAUGCUUGUAGAGAAAAAAUUCAUGCAUUUCCAUGAUAAAUGUAUUUAUUGUGAAUUUUAGGAUGCUUAACAUGCCUAUAUUAGGUGUAAGAAAUUUCGGGCCCCUAUAUAGUAGAGGGCUACCUUGGGGGACUUGUACACGAUUGGCAUCCUAUUGAGACUUAGAAUCAUACUUUCUAUUGUGAAAAUGAGCGUUACCUUCAUGCAUUCUAAGCUAUUCUUAUUUGAGACUUAAAGGAUCUUAAUAAGCCAUAAAAGGGGCAUAUGACAAGAUUGACAUGUGAGAUUGUGAGCUAAUGUCAUAAAGCGGCACUGAGCUCGGGUUGUGUGUGAACCUAGUGGAUAGGGCCAUUGAGAGAAUUGGAACUUGUAUGUAUAUCGAAAUGUCUAAGUGUCAUAAAGGGGCACUAGACUUAGUGAAUGAAUGAAACUUUACAUUGUGACCUAGAGCUAGACCGUUGGGUUACUAGUAGCUAUUGCCAUGUUUGAGACAUGAGGGUUGGAUACUUGAGCUUUUGACUACGCUUGCUUGCCAUUUGUGCUUAUUCGCACAUGCUUGUGAGGGUCGCUCCCUACAAGCCGGCACUCCGGAGUUGGCCUACGUGACUGAUGUUCGCUCGUGCGGUAUCGAGAAGCCUACGGGGUCGAGUGGGACAGACACAUUCCAAGAGUAGGAAUGUUGGGCUGCCACAGGCACUUAGGCGGCACAAGCUGUACUACCUUGGGUAGGUCCUUAAUUGGAAAUGGAAAUUGACACGGUAUUGAGUGUGUUAUAAUCACUACUAGAUAGAGAGUAGUAGUUGGAUUACUUGGACUUGCUUAUAGCAUAGCAUUUGGGCCUGUAGUAUACAUGAUAACCUUAUUCAUUGCAUCAUAGUAUACUUGCUAUCAUGAUAGAGCAUAUUCAUCAUACAUUGGACUUAUUAGUCAUGUUUGGACUUACUUCAUAGGGAUGAAGUAGAUGUACAACACUUUCGACAUCAUGUUUCUUUGUGAUAUAGUAGCUUAGCCUUUUAAUUAUGCUUUCAUAAAUGCAAUUAUUUCAUUACUAUUGCCUUAUUGACUUACCUUUUCUUUUGGGGCCUAGUGAUGCAUAGAGCUGAGGUCAGUAAUUGCCCACUGGGAACUAUAAAUUAUAGUUCUCAUGCCUCUGUUUUAUGUUUUCUUUCAGAACCUUCCCCGCCGGGAGAGGCUAGGGACCGUGGGAAGGGCGUUACUUCGAGCUAGCUCUUCGGCAAGUGACGAGUUGAUAGGUGGUCUACCUCUCGAUGUUUUUAUUUUGGAGAGGUUGAGAGCUGUACCAGUAUACUAGAGACCACCCUUU